CGUAGCUGCAUGGCUCUCAGAGGACACAACAGACAUAAAUGCACAUACAGCACAACAACAGUUGAGUAUGGCAACACUAAUCAUUUGAAAAUGCCCUCAUUUGUGACCAGGUCCCAUACUUGGGAUACAUUUUUUUUUCAUUUAACUAUCAUAAGAAUAGGGAUUUUGUGGCUACUUGACCCAUCAAUUACUACUUUAUUAUCACUCACAGCAUGAGUAGAAUGUUGUAGGUCAUUAAAUGUGUUGCACAAGACAAUAACGUUUCUGAACUACGUUGAUCAAUUCUGCAAAAUCAUUGGGAAUGGCUCCCAUUAAGGGAAGCACCAUCUAUCAAGUUUUGCUUAAAGAAUUGCGUUAUUAUAAGAAGAAUUUGUUUUAAAUCACUUCCUCUUUUUGCUGUAUGUUUUUUAUGUUUCACGUUUCAAUUCUUUUCUUGGGUCUGCUGCAUCCCUCAAAGGUAAGAAAAAAUGACAUUCCAUUAAAAGUAUACAGAAAAAUAAAAAGUUUUAGAAAGCAACAAUAAGGGAAGGAAUGUAAAAUCAUAAAGACUGUUAGUCAUAAAGACUAACUUGAAAACAUCUUUCAAUCAGAGAAAAUGCAUCACUUUGCCAUAAAACCUUUAUCAUUUUUUGCCCUGUUCCUGCCUGUCUUUUUCUUCCCUCACCUCUCUCCAUCUCUGUCUCCCUGUCUUUUCUUUUCUGCUCUCUCGGUUUUCCUAGGCACCUGUGCAGGUUUAGAGUUUCAGCCAAGUCCCUGAAAAAUACAUGCUGCGCUCCAAUCUCUUAAUCCACUCGGCUCCACGCAGCCACGUCACAUGACACCGCCCUGGUCGUCUUGACGCCCAGACGGCACUGGAGGGGAAUGAUUGUUUGGUGUGUGCAUGUGUUUCAGAGUUCAGUCUAUUGCACAGAAAAUAAGCAUAAAACAGAAACUGUUUUUGUUAUUUAUAAUGUAGUAUAUAGUGCUUGUUAUAAAGUUCCAUGCAUGUUUUAUUAACAUGUUUGGGUUCGGUUGGUGAAUACUCUAUAUUUAACUUGGUGGUUGGAGAGCAAGAAACAAUUUCUCAUUCAAAUCUUUCUUCUUAGGCAAUGCUGUGUGUGUAUGUGUGUCUGCAUGUACAUUUUGGGAUGAUACCCUAUCCCCAGCAAUCAGUCUGACCUCCACUCCGGAGUGAACCAUUCUCAAUGAUUAAUGGAUCUGCCUCCAUGCUUGGUCGCUAAGGCAACAAGAAACCCGAUAGCCCUCAGGAAUUCGCUUGCUCGCCCUCAAAGUUUGGUUAUGUGCGCCAUUAUGUGUGUACGUGUGUGUGUACGUGUGUGUGUGUGGUGGGUGGGAGACGUGCGAGGAUGGAGCUGGCUGUGGUAAAGGUGACUGAAGAGGAUCCAAUCCAGUUAAUGGGUGAUUCUGUUCUGCACUUUUCAUGCCUUAUUUUCUUAAAUUAUGCUACACACUCUUGAAAGGUCCCUGGAAGUCAGUCUGAGGAUUUGUGCUCAAAACUGCUGGGGAAACUGAGGGACAUUGGACUGCCACACUCCACCUGCAUGUGGAUCCACAGCUUCCUGUCAGGUCGCAGCAAAAGGGUCAGACUAAGUCAACAUACAUCUUCAGUCCUCAGCCUCAGCACCAGCUCUCCACAGGGUUGUGUGUUGAGCCUCCUGCUCUACACCCUCUACACCUACAACUGCCCCGUCUCUCACCACAACAACAUCAUUGUCAAGUUUGCAGAUGACACCACAGUGGUGGUGCUCAUCUCCGGGGGUGAUAAGUAAGCCUAUCGGGACGAAAUGGAGUAGUUGGCAGCACGGUGCACAGAGAACAACUUGGUUUUCAUCAUCUCCAAGACCAAAGGGAUAAUAUUUAAAUAUUGGAAAUAGAGAAUGGACAUUUCACCACUGAUCAUCAGCGGGGACUGUGUGGAGAGGGUGGCUGACUUUCUGGGAGUCCGCAUUGAGGAGGCCAUGACCUUAAGUGUGAACACCUCUGAGCUGCCGAAAAAGGCCCAGCAAAGACUGCACUUCCUGAGGGUGCUUAGAAGAAAUAACAUCACACUUGUUGAACUUCACAGUUUCUGGUGUCUCCAAAAAGUUCACAACAUCAUAAAUGACAUUUCUAACCUAUCUCAUGGUCCGGUUGAGCUGUUACUGGCAAUUUUUAUCUAACAGCAAUAGCUAAACUCAGUACAGCCGGAAUGUAAAGGAGAUGGAAUAUUGGGAAUAGUGCAAUCAGUAUAAAUGUGUGUAUGCGUGUUUUUAUUUUAUGUUUUUAACAAAGAGCUUCUAUUUUUCUGUUAUGCAUAAAUUAUUUCUUUUUCUAUGCACUGGCCAGCUUUUUUUCCAAUUUCAUUGAACUUGUGACAAUGACAGUAAAGGGUAUUCUAUUCUA